GGGGCUGAGGCUCAGUGGUAGAGUUCUCAUCUCACAUGUGUGAAGUCCUGGGUUCGAUCCUCAGCACCA
rnacentral:tRNA from 1 species